rnacentral:misc_RNA from 1 species
GCUGAAGAACGUAGCAAAAUGCGAUAAGUAAUGUGAAUUGCAGAAUUCAGUGAAUCAUCGAAUCUUUGAACGCACAUUGCGCCCGCCAGUAUUCUGGCGGGCAUGCCUGUUCGAGCGUCAUUUCAACCCUCAAGCCCAGCUUGGUGUUGGGAGCUGCAGUCCUGCUGCACUCCCCAAAUACAUUGGCGGUCACGUCGAGCUUCCAUAGCGUAGUAAUUUACACAUCGUUACUGGUAAUCGUCGCGGCCACGCCGUUAAACCCCAACUUCUGAAUGUUGACCUCGGAUCAGGUAGGAAUACCCGCUGAACUUAAGCAUAUCAAUAAGCGGAGGA